rnacentral:tRNA from 1 species
GGAGAUUUAGCUUAGCGGCAUAAGCGCCUGCCUUGUAAGCAGGCAAUCGCCAGUUCAAUCCCUGGUACCA